rnacentral:rRNA from 2 species
GGUAUUUUGACCGUGCAAAGGUAGCAUAAUCAUUAGUUUUUUAAUUGAAAGCUGGAAUGAAAGGUUGGAUGAAAAAUAAGCUGUCUCUAUUUAAUUUUAUUAGAAUUUUAUUUUUAAGUUAAAAAGCUUAAAUUUAAAUAGAAGACGAGAAGACCCUAUAGAGUUUAAUUUAUUUUUAAAAUAAGAUUAUUGGUAUUUAUUAUUUUUAUUAUAAUAAUGAAUUUAGUUGGGGUGAUUGAAAAAUUUAAUAAACUUUUUUUAUAUAUGAACAUUAAUUUAUGAUUUAUUGAUCCUUUUUUUAAGAUUAAAAGAUAAAAUUACCUUAGGGAUAACAGCGUAAUUUUUUUUAAGAGUUCAAAUCGAAAGAAAAGAUUGCGACCUCGAUGUUGGAUUAAAAUAAAAUUUUGGUGUAGAAGCUAAAA